UACGAAGGGGGCUAGCGUUGUUCGGAAUUACUGGGCGUAAAGCGCGCGCAGGCGGUUUUUUAAGUCAGGGGUGAAAUGCCAGGGCUCAACCUUGGAACUGCCUUUGAUACUGGAGACCUUGAGUCCGGGAGAGGUGAGUGGAAUUGCGAGUGUAGAGGUGAAAUUCGUAGAUAUUCGCAAGAACACCAGUGGCGAAGGCGGCUCACUGGCCCGGAACUGACGCUGAGACGCGAAAGCGUGGGGAGCAAACAGG
rnacentral:rRNA from 1 species